rnacentral:rRNA from 1 species
AAACUCAAAGGAAUAGACGGGGACCCGCACAAGUGGUGGAGCAUGUGGUUUAAUUCGAAGAUACGCGAAGAACCUUACCUAGCCUUGACAUAUAUUAGAACACCCUAGAGAUAGAGUGGUGCCUUCGGGAGCUUUUAUACAGGUGCUGCACGGCUGUCGUCAGCUCGUGUCGUGAGAUGUUGGGUUAAGUCCCGCAACGAGCGCAACCCUCGUCACUAGUUACUAACGGUUCGGCCGAGGACUCUAGUGAGACUGCCUUCGCAAGGAGGAGGAAGGUGAGGACGACGUCAAGUCAUCAUGGCCCUUACGGCUAGGGCAACACACGUGCUACAAUGGCCAGGACAGUGAGACGCGAUACCGCGAGGUGGAGCAAAUCUAUAAACCUGGUCUCAGUUCGGAUUGUAGUCUGCAACUCGACUACAUGAAGCUGGAAUCACUAGUAAUCGUAGAUCAGCUAUGCUACGGUGAAUACGUUCCCGGGUCUUGUACUCACCGCCCGUCACACCAUGGGAGUUGAUUUCACCCGAAGCGGGGAAGCUAAACUGGCUACCCUCCACGGUGGAAUUAGCGACUGGGGUGAAGUCGUAACAAGGUAACC